rfam:Clostridium sp. ASF502 genomic scaffold acMal-supercont1.11, whole genome shotgun sequence.
GUGAACUGAUAAUUCGAGAGGUGGAAUGAUAGGGUAACGCCUUGAAACGCCUCCCCUGAUACUCCGGCAUGCGUCAUCAUGCUGUGAUGAGGUGUGAAGCCCGGUAAAGUCGGCAGAAAGGUGCCGUAACAGAUAACGCUGACGAAACCUGUCCAGAGGUGGACAGCGCACCCCAUAUGCCGGGGGUCUAUAAA